UGAAGCGGCAAGAGCUCAAAUUUGAAAUCUGGCUCCUCCGGGGGCCGAGUUGUAAUUCGCAGAGGAUGCUUCGGGUGCGGUCCCCGUCUAAGUGCCCUGGAACGGGCCCUCAUAAAGGGAGGAGAAUCCCGUCUGGGAGGGGCGGCCCUGCCCGUGUGAAGCUCCUUCGACGAGUCGAGUUGUUUGGGAAUGCAGCUCUCAAUGGGUGGUAAAUUUCAUCUAAAGCUAAAUAUUGGCCGGAGACCGAUAGCGCACAAGUCAAGUGAUCGAAAGAUCAAAAGCACUUUGAAAAGACAGUUAAACAGCACGUGAAAUUGUUGAAAGGGAAGCGCUUGCGACCAGACUCGCCUGCGGGGGUUCAGCCGGUACUCGUACCGGUGUACUCCCCCGUGGGCGGGCCAGCGGCGGUUUGGGCGGCCGGUCAAAGGCCCCCGGA
rnacentral:rRNA from 2 species